CACGAAGGGGGCUAGCGUUGCUCGGAAUCACUGGGCGUAAAGGGCGCGUAGGCGGCCGAUCAAGUCAGGGGUGAAAGCCUGUGGCUCAACCACAGAAUUGCCUUUGAUACUGUUUGGCUCGAGACCGGAAGAGGUUGGUGGAACUGCGAGUGUAGAGGUGAAAUUCGUAGAUAUUCGCAAGAACACCAGUGGCGAAGGCGGCCAACUGGUCCGGUUCUGACGCUGAGGCGCGAAAGCGUGGGGAGCAAACAGG
rnacentral:rRNA from 1 species